rnacentral:rRNA from 1 species
GAUGAACGCUGGCGGCGUGCCUAAUACAUGCAAGUCGAGCGAACGGACGAGAAGCUUGCUUCUCUGAUGUUAGCGGCGGACGGGUGAGUAACACGUGGAUAACCUACCUAUAAGACUGGGAUAACUUCGGGAAACCGGAGCUAAUACCGGAUAAUAUUUUGAACCGCAUGGUUCAAAAGUGAAAGACGGUCUUGCUGUCACUUAUAGAUGGAUCCGCGCUGCAUUAGCUAGUUGGUAAGGUAACGGCUUACCAAGGCAACGAUGCAUAGCCGACCUGAGAGGGUGAUCGGACACACGGGAACUGAGACACGGUCCAGACUCCUACGGGAGGCAGCAGUAGGGAAUCUUCCGCGAUGGGCGAAAGCCUGACGGAGCAACGCCGCGUGAGUGAUGAAGGUCUUCGGAUCGUAAAACUCUGUUAUUAGGGAAGAACAUAUGUGUAAGUAACUGUGCACAUCUUGACGGUACCUAAUCAGAAAGCCACGGCUAACUACGUG